CUUGUCCCUAGAAGCAUUGCAGAUGUGGCUGCUGUGUCAAAUGUUUGUCACAAGAUGUCAGAGGGAAGAGAGGCUGUGUCAACAUUCAGUAUACUAAUGUAAGUAAGAACAUCUGAAUGAUUAGUAACCUAAUAUU
rnacentral:snoRNA from 1 species